CGUUUUCUCCUCGUGUUCACUGUGUUGGCUUAAUGUUAUAUUAAUUUUCAUAAGGCACGCGGUGAAUGCCAAGAGUGAGCUU
rnacentral:pre_miRNA from 1 species